rnacentral:rRNA from 1 species
GACGAACGCUGGCGGCGUGCUUAACACAUGCAAGUCGAACGCUGAACCCGCUUCGGUGGGGGAUGAGUGGCGAACGGGUGAGUAACACGUGGGCAACCUGCCCCCGGCUCUGGGAUAACUCCAAGAAAUUGGGGCUAAUACCGGAUGUGACCGCUGGCCGCAUGGUCUGGUGGUGGAAAGGGUUUCCGGCUGGGGAUGGGCCCGCGGCCUAUCAGCUUGUUGGUAGGGUAGUGGCCUACCAAGGCGACGACGGGUAGCCGGCCUGAGAGGGUGACCGGCCACACUGGGACUGAGACACGGCCCAGACUCCUACGGGAGGCAGCAGUGGGGAAUAUUGCGCAAUGGGCGGAAGCCUGACGCAGCGACGCCGCGUGGGGGAUGACGGCCUUCGGGUUGUAAACCUCUUUCAGCAGGGACGAAGCGCAAGUGACGGUACCUGCAGAAGAAGCACCGGCCAACUACGUG